CUCCCCUUUGAAACCUCCAACUGUGGCAUCCUGCUUUACCUGCUGAGCUGGAGGAGCCUCUGCUAUCAGGUAUCUUCCCCCGGUCCAGCUCAGGUCUCCUCCCCUUUGAUCGGCCGAUGGGGAUCCUUCCAUUUCUCACGGUAAGCAGUUCUGGCAGCUCAGCCCCGUGCACCUCAGCUCGCUCCCGAUCCUAUUACUGCUUUCCAAUAUCCUCUGCAGGAAUGGGGUCACCAGCACUAAGGCUGGCGCUUUCCGUGAGGGAAGGAUGGAGCCCUUCGGAGUCACAUUGAGUGAAAUAAAUAAAACGCAGCAGCAAAGACAAAUAGUUUCCAGGCAUUGUGUUGGCAUUUUGGCCUAAUGACUGAUUAAUCUGAACCGGAGUCUCAUUACAGAUUCACGGAUCGAUGGGAUCGGAUCGUUAGCUCCGGCACCCCCUCCUGCAAUCAGCAGUGCAGGCGGCAGCGCUGCCGGGGGAUGGAUUAAAGGCUCAGCUGGAGCAGGGAGCCGGCAGCAGGAGGGAAAGCAGGGAGAGCAGGGUUAGGAAAGGCAUCGUCACCGUGCUGAGGGCCAACAAAAUGGCCAUGCUGCGGUCUGGUCCCAGCACGGAUUUGCUCUGCAGACGCAUCUUUCAGCCAUGAGGGACACGGAAAGCAUCUUUCAGCCAUGAGGGACACCCAACAGGGACAGCCCCGGGGGAUGGCACCUGUAUCCCAGCCACGGUGAGCGAAAAACCCCAAUGGAGGUAUAGGCGGAAACACCACCCAUCACCCUGCAGACCCCCAGGAGGAGACCCCGCAGGAAACCAGAAUUUUCCAAGCAGCCCCACCCCCGGCAGCACUGGGCUUUCCUAGCGCGUUUGAGGACCCAGAGGAGCAGUCGGGCUCCUGCACGCUCCCAGGGGCUGAGAGCAGGAGGCACGAGGGUGACACGAGGAUGAGCCUUCCACCAGCACCACAGCACAGGGUGAGGGUGUGAAUCAGGGAUCUGCAGCCCACCCCCAAGGGCAGCAUCCCUUCCUGCCCCAAGCAGAGCUUUCCAGACCACCUUAACCCCAAAAGCAAUUGCUCCCAGGCGGUGCCAAGUGACCCAUCCCUGGGUGAGAGCAGCAAUAACAAGAGCAGGUUUCCAGAGCAAGGAGGUCUGACCCGACCCCGAAGGCGAUGUGCUUCCCAUGCAGCCGUUAAUCCCUCCCACUCCCACCACUGCCUAACGCCAGCAACAAAUACGGACAAGAUCGAUAUCACCUUCCUGAGCCACCCCAAGCACUGCUGGCCUGGAGAAAAACAUCUGAUCCAAGCUGGGAAAGAGGGGAAACAAGAACAGGACCCCACAGAUGGCGCUAAGAAUUUUUCUGAACCGACUCGUAUUCAUAAAUACUGCCCUCCAAUCCCUCUCGCAAGACAGAACCAACCCUAAUUAGAAUGGUGAGCCCUCACCAUCUUUUCCUCAUCAUGCAGUUCCCAUAAAACUGCUCCAGAAGAGGAAGGCUUUGGCCAACCCCUCCCCCGGCAAGCAACGGGGAGUGUUCCCAAACGUCUGUCACAAUCAGAAUAAAGAGAAACUCCAUUGGAUUAUAGGGCUUGGGGGCUGAUUUCCAAGAAAAAGCCAAAGAGCUCAGAGUCAAGCAAUUGGCAUGGGGUUCUUGGGCACCUCCAGGGGCUGGGAGCACGGCUGGGUGCUGCUGUACAGUCAAUGGCCUGGGGCCAACCAUGGAUUCCUUUUGUCAAGCAGCC
ensembl:lncRNA